AGUCACGAGAUUUACCUCCCUUAUGUGGUGGUGGUACGGUGCGCUCCUCCUCGCGACCCUUCCGAACUUGCUCCUCACUGCCGCUAGCCAUGUCGUGAAUGUGCCCAGCUAACCCACGAACCCUUUUGUAGCGUGGCUCUGAUACCAACUGUCACGGACCGGAUAACUCCCUAGCUAUCUUCCGUGCGGCCUUAGUCACAAUCCGCCCCUGCGAUGUGCUAAGUCAGCCUUUCCCNNNN
rnacentral:lncRNA from 1 species